AUUGAACGCUGGCGGCAUGCCUUACACAUGCAAGUCGAACGGCAGCAUGAUCUAGCUUGCUAGAUUGAUGGCGAGUGGCGAACGGGUGAGUAAUACAUCGGAACGUGCCCUGUAGUGGGGGAUAACUAGUCGAAAGAUUAGUUAAUACCGCAUACGACCUGAGGGUGAGAGUGGGGGACCGCAAGGCCUCAUGCUGUAGGAGCGGCCGAUGUCUGAUUAGCUAGUUGGUGAGGUAAAGGCUCACCAAGGCGACGAUCAGUAGCUGGUCUGAGAGGACGAUCAGCCACACUGGGACUGAGACACGGCCCAGACUCCUACGGGAGGCAGCAGUGGGGAAUUUUGGACAAUGGGGGCAACCCUGAUCCAGCAAUGCCGCGUGUGUGAAGAAGGCCUUCGGGUUGUAAAGCACUUUUGUCCGGAAAGAAAUCGCACUUACUAAUAUUAGGUGUGGAUGACGGUACCGGAAGAAUAAGGACCGGCUAACUACGUGCCAGCAGCCGCCGCGGUAA
rnacentral:rRNA from 1 species